CUCCCCCAGGGCCUUGGAGUUCCAGGGUAAAGCUCAGCUCUGAGCUCCACUCCCUUAGUGUGGAGCUCUCUGAUCCUGAGCCAUCUCUGUUGAAGCUUCUUGAUAAUUCAUCCUCUUCUACUGAAACCAGGAGAACUCAGAGGUGGGGAAAGGGAGAGAUAGAAAUAUAUUGCCAGCACCGGUUUGGCUCAGUGGAUAGAGCGUCGGCCUGUGGACUGAGGGGUCCCAGGUUCGAUUCCGGUCAAAAGCAUGUACCUGGGUUGCGGACACAUCCCCGGCAGCACAUGUGCAGGAGGCAGCUGAUCAAUGUUUCUCUCUCAUCAAUGUUUCUAACUCUCUAUCCCUCUCCCUUCCUCUCUGUAAAAAAUCAAUAAAAUGCAUUUUAAAAAAAGAAA